GGUUGUAUUCAUUCCUCUUGAAGACAGCUCCCAGGUCAGCCCUACUCCUUUCACCUCUACAAACUCUUCACCAACCAGCAUCUCUCAUCUCACCUUGAGGAAAUGGCCCAAUGAGGAAUGCAAUAGCAAGAGGCAAGCUAAGUACAUUUCAAUUCUUUCUGAGAGGAAGAAAUCUUUCUCAACAAGUCUGAUGGAGCAAUAAAUACUGGACAUCUGUGUGUUGUGUGAUGGGCAGAACAGAUACAGAAAACUUCCAGCUUAUGAAUGAGAUCCAUGAUGCAGAGAGACAGUUAUCAUAAGCAGCAUCACAUGGGAUUGCCAGGAGCAUAUUGUUGGAGAACAGAAGACCUAUAGCCCCCAGCUAGACCAACAAGAAGCAACAUGACUGAAUCUGGAUGAUGGAUACUCAGGAGCAUGACUCAAGAGGGUACACUCACAUUCUCUCCCUCCUCAACGCUCCAAUUGUAUCUUCCUCUUACUCACUUCUAGUGAAUUACAUUGCUUCCUAUUUUUAUGAAAAUGGCUAAAGCCAUCAUAAAAGUCCUUGUCUACUA